rnacentral:lncRNA from 13 species
AUGGAUAAAGCAAAAUCAAUUAUCGGACAAAAAGGGUCAGGAUCUUGUCAUGCCAACGGACUUCAGAGGGAGUUUCAUUCCCAGGCUAACAUCGGUGGCUGUAACGCAUACAAAUCAAGUGGAAACUGUAGUGGUGACAGUAGCAAUAUUGAACACUUCCAUCACCUGCAGCCCGAUCACGUCGAAGACAAUGGGUCAUCCAAUGGGUCAUCUCCUGCGAAAAGAUGCCGGUUACGAAGAAGAGUUGAGUCGGUGAAGAGAAACAGACCACGUUUGGAUAUCGCAGUGGCGUAGAGUGGAGCGCAGUACUAGGGCUGGGAGAUAUGGCCAUCAUAUCAUAUAUGGUAUUAUUCACAUUUAUGAUGGUAUUUUAUGUUUUUUGAUUAAUGAAAGUUCUACACGUCACUUUAUGAGUAGUGUGUGACCCUAGGGUGGCAACACACAUAUAUAUUCUAAAUGAUUUCAAUGGGUCUUUCUCCCUUCUGAUUGGUUUAUACUGUUCAAUUCAACUUCAACCUAAAAUAAUUUCCUGCAAUUUCCAUCAAUUUCUGCAUUUCCUGCACUCAUUUCAGAUCAUUUGAGAAUCAAAAAAUACUAGGCCUUAUUUUUAACCAAAUGGUGCAAUUGCGGUUUAGAUCAAAACAUUUGGGUUAACUUUUGGAAUCGUGGAAAUAGAAUGUUUAUUAUAAUUCUAUAGUUGGAAUAUAAAAUAAUAGUGGGCAAUUUGAGUAGUGUUUGACAUAACAAUGAAUGAAAAUGCCACGGAGGAGUUAUUGUGACAGGGUAGGAACCAAAGUGACGUUCAGUGUUUCCUAGGGGACCCUAUAGUCUUUGGCUACAUUAAAUCUUCAUUCAUAUAGCCAACAUAUUCAUAUUUCGCCUAUUCCAUCUUUGAUUUAAAAGAUACUGUUACACGAACAACAUGCUGAUUUAAGCCUCCUCCAGUACAGGCAUCAGGCUGUAUUAGCUAGCUCAAUACUUUUAUUAGCUGCGAUUAGCAUUAGGGGCUAACACGAUUUAGCCUAACUGGCUAAGAAAAUACAAACUGGCUGUUUGCAGAUGUAAGAAACACAAACUAAUAUUGUAAUUAUAGAACGCUUGUUGAUUGAUAUUAAGAUCAAAUUGGUGACAACAUCGUUGCGUUGACCAAGCAGACUGAACGAAAGUGUCUCGCUCCUUGACUGACAGGGGGCGGGACUAGGUCUCUGUGGAAAGAGGCGUGGCGAGAAAGAGCGGAGAGGGAUGACUCCAGUAGCGGAGUAAACUAUAAAAAUGGAUGUUACACACAGCGCUACACAAUUUUAACAAACCAAACAUUGAAAUAACGUUAUAGAAGGUAAAGUAAAAACCCAAACCGGUCCGUGCAUAAAUACCGGUGUAUAUAGUAAAAUAUGGUAUACCGCCCUAUGCAGUAUUGUAGAGUUUUGUGCAGUACCGUAGAGUACAGUGCAAUAUUCUGCACUAUACCCUCUACUGUGCUCUACUGACUAUACCGCGUUAUACUGACUGUACCGCACUCUACUGACUGUACCGCGCUCUACUGACUGUACUAUGCUAUUCAAACUUGUGAAACAUACACUCCUGGUCAGAAGUUUGGACACACCUACUCAUUCCAGGAUUUGUCUUUAUUUUUACUGUUUUCUACAGAAGACAUCAAAAGUAUGAAAUAACACAUAUGGAAGAAUCAUGUAGUAACCAAAAAAGUGUUAAACGAAUCAAAAUAUAUUUUAUACUUUGAGAUUAUUAAAAGUAGCCACCCUUUUGCCUUGAUGACAGCUUUGCAAUCUCUCGGCCAGCUUCAUGAGGCAGACUUUGUCUCUUGUCAGGCAAAGCCUCUCCUAAUUCCCAGCUAUGACAUUUUCCCUCAUUGCUUAUAAUAUCAGAGCACUGCUAAACGAACACACUGCAGACAAGGAGAUGAGUGAAAGUCUCUUAAAAUGUCGAUUUACAUUUUAUAGUAGCUAUUAGUUUCUUUGGUAAAUGUAAACUGUAGAAAGUAGCCUAGUUCUAGUCGCAGACGGGCCAGCUCUUCGAGGCAACAUGUUCAUGGAAUAGUGUCGGGCAGGCUCUGGAAUGGACAUGUAUAACUUUAGACCGUCCCCUCGCCCAUACCCGGGCGUGAACCAGGGACCCUCUGCGCACAUCAACAACAGUCACCCACGACACCUCCGCUGUCUUCAACCAGGAUCUCAGCGAUCACUGCCUCAUUGCCUGUAUCCGCUAUGGAGCCGCAGUCAAACGACCACCCCUCAUCACUGUCAAACGCUCCCUAAAACACUUCUGUGAGCAGGCCUUUCUAAUCGACCUGGCCCGGGUAUCCUGGAAGGACAUUGACCUCAUCCCGUCAGUUGAGGAUGCCUGGUCUUUCUUUAAAAGUAACUUCCUCACCAUUUUAGAUAAGCAUGCUCCGUUCAAAAAAUGCAGAACUAAGAACAGAUAUAGCCCCUGGUUCACUCCAGACCUGACUGCCCUCGACCAGCACAAAAACAUCCUGUGGCGGACUGCACUAACAUCGAACAGUCCCCGCGAUAUGCAACUGUUCAGGGAAGUCAGGAACCAAUACACACAGUCAGUCAGGAAAGCUAANNNNNNNNNNACAGGGCAGGUGCCUCUGGUGGGGUGACUGUCAUGUGCCCCUAGCCUUGCUCCCUGAUAAAGAAUGAUUCCACUACCAGAGAAGCAGGUUUGCCUAUCGCCUAGUAAUUCUUCAACCUAAAAAGGUUGGAACAGCAGACCUUGGUCUCUUUUAAUCAGUUGGAAGUGAGGGUUAUCUUAAUCUUGUUUUAGUUUUAUAGUCUUUGCUCUACAGUGUGCUUUUAUUUUUUAUAUUUUUUCUUUGAAGGUUCUUUAAAUAUGAUUUCAAAAAACAUUUUUUUAUUAUAAUUAUUACUUCCCUGCAUGUUUUCGUGG